AUGGCUGGCAGAUGGGCAGCAAAAAAGGUUCUGGUGCUGCACACCAACAAGAACUUCGACCAGCAGAGGACCAACUGGGUGAUGCACCAGUACCACCUCGGGGACCUGGAGCAAGAGAAGGAGCAGGAGCUGGUCCUCUGCAAGAUUUUCUACCAGACGAACACUAGGGCCAGGAGUAAAAAGAUUAUAAGUCGAGCAAGUUUCAACUGGGCUGUAGACUACCCAUGGUAG
rnacentral:rRNA from 1 species